rnacentral:rRNA from 1 species
UACGUAGGUGGCGAGCGUUGUCCGGAUUUACUGGGCGUAAAGAGCGCGCAGGCGGCUGGUCAAGUCCGAUGUGAAAGCUCCCGGCUUAACUGGGAAAUUGCAUCGGAAACUGAUCGGCUGGAAGGUGGGAGAGGGUAGCGGAAUUCCCGGUGUAGUGGUGAAAUGCGUAGAUAUCGGGAGGAACACCAGUGGCGAAAGCGGCUACCUGGGCCCAUCUUGACGCUGAGGCGCGAAAGCUAGGGGAGCAAACGGG